rnacentral:rRNA from 2 species
AAACAUGGCUCUUUGAUAUUUAUAUAUAAAGAGUCGGGCCUGCCCAGUGAUAAAUUUUAUUUAACGGCCGCAGUAUCUUGACUGUGCAAAGGUAGCAUAAUCAUUUGCCCUAUAAUUGAGGGCUAGUAUGAAUGGUCUGACAAGAACAAAGCUGUCUCUAGGAAGUUCUAUUGAAAUUAAUUUUCAGGUGAAGGAGCCUGAAUUUAACUGAAAGACGAGAAGACCCUAUCGAGCUUAAAAAGUUGUUAAAGGUUAGCUAACGUUACUUUUUUGGUUGGGGCGACCAAGGAACAUUUAAAGCUUCCUUAAGUUUGAAGACAGAUAAGUAUUGAUCCAGUAAAAUUGAUUAAAAAAAUAAGUUACCGUAGGGAUAACAGCGUAAUCUUCUUUAAGAGUUCACAUUAAAAAGAAACUUUGCGACCUCGAUGUUGGACUAAAGUAUCCUAAAGAUGUAGAAGUCUUUAAGGGUUGGUCUGUUCGACCAUUAAAACUUUA